GUGAAGUUUGAACACAGUUUCAUCUUUGUUUCCUCUCUUCAUUAUUUUUGUCUCCACCUUGUCUUCUUUAUUUUUGGCGUUAAUUUGGUUGUUUCACUUGGAGCAUUGUCAAUGAUUGGAGAAUUCACUUUACAGCAUAUUCAACAAUUGGAAUUUGGAAAGAAUGAAGAAGAAAACAAGUGGCCACCUGGCUUAGGCCAUUUCUCCAAACAAGCCUUUUUUGUUCAAUGCACAGAUUUCUACAAAAGUGAAUGCAACAUGUAUUGCUUGGAUUGUAUGAAUGGAGCCCUUUAUUCAGCCUGUCUUGCUUGUCACAAAGAACACAAAGCUAUUCAGUUUUUGAAAGGCGAGGAGAUCUUCAUACCAUGAUGCCAUAAGGGUGUCGGAGAUACAGAAAAUUCUGGACAUAACAGGGGUCCAAACUUAUAUUAUAACCUGUGCCAAGAUUGUGUUUUAUGAAUGAAAGGCUCAACUUAGGCCUGACAAAAGGAGUCACCAACACCUGCCAAGUCUGUCUCCAACAUAGAAAAUGGUCCCUCUUCCUGAUGCAAUACAAUCCACCUUCCUCUUGAGUGCUGAGAGACUCAUCUCCUCUUCAUCCCUUUUUCAUGAACCUCGAAGAAAUCAGUGCAAGCUGAAAGUUCAUGAAAUGUGUGUUGACUUCAAUGGUCUGUCUGCAUUGGUUUACACUAGUUCGCACAAGUUGCACACACACUGGUUUGGUUGUGUUAUUGUGGGCUUGAAUUGUUUCUUGCACACACACACACACACUAGUUUACAACUAUGAUUUAUUAGUUAUUUUUUAUUUUCAGUUGUUUAAUUUUUCUAAUGGUAUUCUUUUCCUAAUUAUUCCUUGCAGAAUCUUUACUAGCGUAGUUCUAUAGUGAUUAGUGUUUUAUCUUUUUUCUUUUUUUUACUAUUUAGCUUUCUUUUUCCUUUUGCCCCUUUUUUCUAUGUUGGUGUUGCCAUUUCUUUCUAAUGUAGGUAAAUUUUAGCUUUCCAUCUUUCUUUUACACUUUUAGUGACCCUGAAAAAAUGGGCUUUCAGGGAGUGGAACUACAAGGUGCCAGCAAACAUUUCAUGGCUUUCGGUGGAGGCAUGAGAUUUUGUGUUGGAACGGACUUCACUAAGGUUCAGAUGGCUAUGUUUAUUCAUAGCUUGGUAACCAAGUACAGGUAAGAUUAUGAGAUGGCUAUGUUUAUUCAUAGCUUGGUAACCAAUUACAGGUGGCGACCCAUCAAAGGAGGAAACAUCCUUCGAACUCCGGGUUUACAGUUUCCAAAUGGCUUUCACGUCCAGAUCAUGGAAAAAGAUCAAAGGAAACAGCAGGAACCAGAAUAUACCAUUACAACCAAAACUCCGCAAGAGAGACUCAUAUAUGGUAGAAAUUUAGGUUUGACAUUUUCAAGGAACACAAGGCAAUGAAAUUCUUAUGGAAGCCAGAAAAGCAACCAUAAGGAUCUCUCACUCAGUUUUGAUUAGGUCUCUUAAAAAUUAUGUUUUUAUUAGAUUUUCUUCUCAAUAUACUACAGGGUUUUUAUGAAAACAAGGGUCAAAACCAAAAUAUGACGUGCCUUACCUUGCAAAAAUGCAAUGAGGGGGAAGGGAAGGAAACUUGUACUUUGGUAACAAGGGGUGUAAAUGCUUCAGAUUAUAUCCUGAGUUAAUAUACAAUUUUCUCUUUGAAAGUCACAAUUUUUACUGCUU